rnacentral:rRNA from 1 species
CCUACGGGGAGCAGCAGUGGGGGAUAUUGCACAAUGGGGGGAACCCUGAUGCAGCGACGCCGCGUGGGUGAAGGAGUGCUUCGGCAUGUAAAGCCCUAUCGGCAGGGAAGAAGCAAGACGGUACCUGACUAAGAAGCCCGGGCUAACUACGUGCCAGCAGCCGCGGUAAUACGUAGGGGGCGAGCGUUAUCCGGAGUUAUGGGGUUUAAAGGGAGCGUAGGCUGGGAGGUAAGUCAGCGGGGGAAUGCCCCGGCUCAACGGGGUGAAGUGCCAUUGAUACUGCCGUGCUAGAAUGCGGAUGCGGUGGGAGGAAUGUGUGGUGUAGCGGUGAAAUGCAUAGAUAUCACACAGAACACCGAUUGCGAAGGCAGCUCACGAAUCCACGAUUGACGCUGAUGCACGAAAGCGUGGGUAUCAAACAGGAUUAGAUACCCUUGUAGUC